rnacentral:rRNA from 1 species
UACGUAGGGUGCAAGCGUUAUCCGGAAUUAUUGGGCGUAAAGAGCUCGUAGGCGGUUUGUCGCGUCUGCUGUGAAAACUGGGGGCUCAACCCCCCAGCCUGCAGUGGGUACGGGCAGACUAGAGUGCGGUAGGGGAGAUUGGAAUUCCUGGUGUAGCGGUGGAAUGCGCAGAUAUCAGGAGGAACACCGAUGGCGAAGGCAGAUCUCUGGGCCGUGAACUGACGCUGAGGAGCGAAAGCAUGGGGAGCGAACAGG